rnacentral:lncRNA from 1 species
UCCCAUAUAAACUUGAAAGUAUUUGCGAUAGAAAGAUACGGAGCUACAAAAAUUCCAAAUCGGUUAGGAGAUGACUUGUUCGUUCUCUCAUCUUGUUACUCUUCGACUUGUGGAUUGUGAACAUUGUUUUUCAAUGCCAGCAUUGGCACAGCUACCAUCUCUCAGAAGGCUUGACACUGAUGGGUUAAAUGGAGUGGAAUUGUUCCUCUUUUCUUAUUGUGUCUUACGGUGGUUCUAUUAUACGACAGUUUGUUGUAUCGAACUAGUCUUCGGUGAAAAAGGAGCUUCAACAAGUCUAUGAGCUCUAGUUUUCGAAUUUCCUUUUUCAAGUUUGUUUCCAAAUUAUGUCUAUUGAGAGGUAGAUUUUGGUACUUUGUAGAAUUCGAAUUCAAAUGUUUGGUUUGUAAAAUAUGGAUGAUGAUUUCAUUUCUGUGGAACUGUGAAUCUAUGAUCAUGCUUGAAUGUUGUCAGACCAUUAUCUAUUCUAAAAUUGAGGAGGGAUUUGACUGUAGCUUAGCUACAGUCAAAUGAUUGACCCUCGAUUUUGCUUUAUUUACAUCACUACCAUUAUAUCUCUGGCUGGGUUGGAAGGGUAAUUAUUACAACUUAGAAGGGUAAUUUUGUCCGUGGGUUUGAACCGAAUUUCACUUUUAUUUACAAAAUUGCCACCGCCUUUUCCUUCCCUCUUUCUCUCUCCCGACUCUCUCUCGGUAACCAUCCAUCAAAUCCCCAUCCUUCCCUUUUCUCACUCUGUAAGUCUCAUUUCCUACAACCCUAGAGCACCGUUUCUCUCUCAUUUCUCUCAAAUUUGACUCAGGGAGAGAGAGGGAAGGGGGACAGAAGGGUUGACAGGUUGGAGGGAGAGGAUCGUCGGGAUUAGGGGAGAGGAUUUUCGGCAGGGAGGUAUGGGUUUAGGGAGAGAGAGAGUAAGGGAGAAGUAUGGGGUAGGCGGAUUUCCAGGGAUUUCUUUUCACCCCUUCACUCACCACGAACCCACCUUUCCCUUCUUUUCUUCCGUCCUCAAAUCUUCUGAUUUCCCUCUCACAAAAUACCCACCAAGGAAACCCUACUUUUGGUUUAUUUUGGGAUUUUGUUUGCGCUCUCGAUUUUCAGACGACGGGCCAAUUGGUUGAUAUUUGGAUUUCUUCUCCUUUUGUCGAAACGCACAAAUUUUGUUUCGGUGGGAUUGGUCUCGAAUAGCUGCGUGUGUCUACCUUUCCAAGGUAUGGUGUUCACCGAUGGCAUGUUUUAGUGUGUUUCUGUUUUUUUUUUCUUUGUUUUGUAUUUCUAAUUUAUCGUUUGCUGCUUGACAAUGGUGAUUGUAUGUUUUAGUUUGGAUGUUUUUCUGAUUUUGGUUUGGUCAGUUUUUUUGGGCUGCUUGAGAAAAUGUGAUCCCAUGUUUUGACUGAGUGAAAUAAUUAAUAGAUAAAAAGAGUGGAGAAUUAGUGUCAAGAGUAGUGAUGGAAAAAAUGAGGAAAAAAAUAUAGAUGUGGAAGAAAAAGGGGGGGGGGCUGGAAAUCGAGCAAGGUGAAGAGAAAAAAAAUAGGGGUUAAGUGAGCAGCCAAAAGAGAAAAAAAAUGAGGGGAAAAGGCUUAAUUUGGGGAGUGGGCAAAAGAGAAAAGCAAGGGAAGGGAGACAGAACAGGAACAAGGUGUGGUUUUGUUGUUGGUUUUAUCCAAAUUUUUGAUUUGGCAUUGGUUUGAAGCUUAUGUGUUAUUAGUAUAGUCUAAUUUAGUGUUGGUUUAUCUAGGUUUGUAGCUAAUUUAAUGUUAAUGUUGAUCUAGGCGUUUUAAUUUGUUGUGAACUUAUAUGAGUUUCGUUUUUUAAUUGUUAUUUUACAGUUGCUAGGGAUGACUUUGGCUUUUAUAUUGGUUUGGGUAUUUUUUUUUUUCAUUUGAAGAUUUAGUGUCAUUAUACACCUUUGCACCACUGUUUGUUCUGUUUUUCUCGGUUUCUGUAUAUAGUUUUGGUACAAUUGGACUGUUCUUUUUAACUUAAUUAAAGUUUUUGAGACUUAAUUGAAUGAAAGUUUAGUGUGUGUUUUGGACUAAUGGUUUUGUGUUGUUAUGUGGGUUUGUGAAGAUGGAUGGAUGUGUGGCUCGGUUGCAGGAGCUGCAGUACACAGUUUCGGGCGGUACGAAGGUGAUCUCAGGAGUGAGUCUCAGCCCUGGGAGUUCUAGAGGUUAUCUCAGGGCUAGCCUCCGAUGCAAACAAGAAACUGCAAGGUAAUUGAGAAUCUGAUUUUAAUUUGAUUUGUACAAACCAGGAACAAAAAAUCCCAGCUUUUGCUUGAAUUUGAAGUUUUUGAUUUUGAUAUUGGAACUGAAAUGGGUCUUUUGAUUUAUGCAGGAUUAAAGGCUCAGCCCCUAGAAAAUCUCCUGUUGGCAAGUUUCCAGCAAAGGCAGGAGGUAUCUCCCUCUCUCUCUCUCUCUCCCUAAAAUCAUAGACGUAUGGCCAAAUGUGUUUUUUGACAAGAAAGUUUAUCCUUCACUUUUUUUCAAAGAACAAAAUUGAGUUUAGAUUCAAAAUCUGAACCUUUUGUUUUUGAAAAUACGACAUUCUAAACAACAGAAGCUCAUUACUUUUUGUUUUUUAAUAAAGCCAUUACCAGUUUCUGAAUUGAUUCUACAUUUUACUCUGUUUUUAUGCCUAAUACCGUUUGUUUUCCAUUGGGUAGCUGUAUAAGUUUUCCAUAAGCUUCGAUCAUCUCCCCAAUAAACCCAGAGCCUCCUUCUCUCCCGCUAAGCAAAAGAAAAUCAAGGAGGCCUGCAACUUCGUUUGCAGUCCGCCACUGCAAAUCAGUCUGGAAACUGGAUUCAAAGGUAAAACACACCGAUGUCUUUGAUUUUGGUCUCUACUGCACAGUUUGACAGACAAAUGAUAAACCUAACACAUGCAUGCUUUGAUUUCCUUGGUAGGUCAUAUUUUUCACUUUCUGGAUGUGCAAAGUCUGGAUAGUACACAUCACCGGACCAAACCUUUAUCAGGUAAGGAAUUCCAUCGCGUUUGUUGAAAAUAUUUGCUUCCUUUCCUCUCAUGUAUGUGUAUGUAUGAUUGUAUGUGUGUGAUUUUAGAUUGUAAUGCAUCACAAAUUUGUGGCAUAAAAAUUGACAUUUGUAGACUUACCCUUUGUUUGGUGACUGUGAUAAUUGAGAGAAAGGAAAAUAAAAUUUCGAAGAUUGAUGCUUUUAUGUGAUUUCUUGGCUCUUUUUUUCAUAUGAUUUUCAUUGUAUGUGUGCCAGUGUAUGUCUCUUCUUGAAAAAUACAUGUUGAAAAUGGGAGAAAAUUUUGGACAUGACACGUUUAGAAGUGAGGUUUUUCUGAAUGAAGACACUUUUAUGAUUUGUUUGUAAUUUGUUUUGCAAAUGGGUAGGAAUGUCAUUCUAAAAGGAUAUUGGCAGGAGAGGGUGGAAUGUCAUUCUAAAAUAUGUGUAAUUCAAUUCUCUCAUUUUCUAUAGCAGAAUUGCGGAUUUCUAAAUCGAAAAGGAGAAAUAAACACUACAGCAGUUUAUGCAGAAGGAGCAUGUAAAAGAGAAGCACAGGUAAAGGUUUAUGAGGUCAGUUUGCUGUUUUCUUUUUAGUGUUUUCAAUUUGUUCCUUUUAGUCUGGCUGCAAUUUUUUAAUCUCUGGUUAUGCAUCAAUUUCUCUGCUUCUUUGUAAAUCUUGCAGGUGAGGACAACACACUUAUCGGGGCAAUGUCGGGAUGUUUAGGCUUGGGUGGAGACAUGGACUUAUGGAAGAGGUGAAGUAGCUUAGGUUUCUGUCAUUAGCUUUAUCUGUUCUAUGCAUCUCUGCAAUCUUACAAUGCUCCUUUAUUUAAUUGCAAGAUGUUGGGGACCGGUUACUGGAAUACAAGAUUUGGAACAAAAGUGGUUGACAAUGCAAGAGUCGAAAGCAAGUGUGAAAUUCACAUUGAAAAUGACAGGUGAGAAUGCUAAUCAUAUUCUAAAAAAAUGUUGGGUUUCCUGAUGAGUUCUCUAGCUGAAUUCAAGAGGCUAAAUUAGUGAUUUGGAGUUAAUUUUGUAAAUUUAUUGAAUAAAGUUAUUUGUUAUUUAGCUUAUCUUGCGUUUGGUUUGGUUUUAGGAGAGGGUUACGCAUGAUCCGUAGCUUCAUUCAACCUCGCUGUUUUCGUUAGAAUCACAAUUAAAGGUCAGUUUUUCCAACAUUUUUUUUGCUUUUUGCUGCAUGUUUGUGCAUGUUUGGUCUCUGAGAUUUUGUUUUUAGUCACUGUUGAUUUGUAGUUUAUGUCUUCCUUUAGCUACAUAUUGACACAUGUUUAUUCUCAGCAUUUUUUUGUUAUGGUAAGUGGUUUGGGGAGUUCUGUAUUAUUAUAUAAUCUUUGGGGCUAUUUUAAGUAAAAAUGAAAUGUUGACAUUGAUAUAGCAUACGGCACACUUAAUUCACACUCCUAUAUUCGGUUUUCAUGUUUCCAUUGCAACACUCUGCAUUUCCGAGCCAAUGAAUUUUUUGAUAAAGAUGUACUUAAAGCAAUUACAUGCUCUAUCAAGUAUGUUUUAUAUGUGGUUGUGGUAGUUGCAAGGAAAUGAAAUAUUUGUGCUGAUAAUUGGUAGUUUAAAUAUAUAGAAAUAGAGAAGAAUUAUAAAUGGAGCACCUAGGAUAUUUAACAUUGUUUUCUUUUCCAUGUAUUUUUUCUCAUGUUUAAUAUCUGCUUUUGCUUAUGCAUAUGAUUCAAGUGCUAUUUUUAUUAGUGUUAAUUUUGGGUUGCAUAUCAACAAACUAACCCAGUUAAUUUUGCUUAGUGUUCAUGUAUAACGAGAACUCUCAUUGCAUCAACUUGAACAAACAUUCUUCUACUUAGUUGCUUAGCUGCUGCAACAAGAACGAAACACUUUUUAUGUGUUUUUGUUUAACUGCUAAAACAGGUGAUUGGCCUCCAGGACAUAUAUUUUGCCAUCUUAACUUUAAAGGCAAUACAUAUGUAAAAUGCAUGUUGCUUAGGGAAACAGAGCAUUUUUUGCAACCACAUCUUUUGUAAUCAGCUUAGUUGAAUGUAUAUAAAAGUUAAGCUACUUAUCUUACCUACACCGAUCACUCAUCUAUCAUUUUUGUUCGUUCAUGAUUAUGUUGAAUUUUUUUUCAGGUUAAAUGUGUCUUAUUCAUGUAGUUAAGGAUGGUGCAUUCAAGUCCCGCAGCAACGCGCGGGCAUUUUUCUAGUAGUAUCGAAAACCCUCUGUUGUUUACCAAUCGAUCUCAAGCGGUCUAGAUUCGAUUUGUUUAAUUAGUACUGCAAGAUGAUCUUAUCUACUAAUCAUGUCUUAUCAAAUGAUUACCAUUUCAUCAUGCCCUUAGGGAUGCAUAGAGCUUCAAAAGUUUUCAAGUUGCUGCGCAUGUGUAGGUUUGAAGUCGUGCAAUGAUAUGUACGCGAAACUUAUGAGCAAACAAAAGCAAACAACUCUUAUACAUAAAUGUCGGCUGCCAGAAAAUCUCAGUAGUACCAGAGAAGAUAAGCUUGUAAUAAAUUUCUAAUUCUCAAAACAGAGCAAACAAGAGAAACAAGAUCUACAUAUAAGUACCCCUAGUUGGCCGGCACACAGGAUUUCUUUUACGAGCAUGUUCUUCAUUAUGGUGCUGUGUCCGACAUGCAUAUCCAUACCAGCAAUUUUCCCUGUUUGAUGCCUCUGUGGGUAGAUGAUAUUUGGGAAUCGAAAUCCGAAACCAGUACAAGAGGAAGGAGAUCAGCUUCUCAUAACAGUAAUUGCACGUAGGUGUCCCAGAAGUUAUUGCCUCAGCAUGAUUCAGGGGCAUCCUCGUUCGAUCAAUUUCUCUGUUGUUCAACUUUGCAAGCCAUUCUGCAAUAACAUCCUGUGAUGUUCUCCCCAACUGUACAGUACACUUCUCAGUGAUCACUUGUUCAUGUCGAUUGUUUUCAUGAGUUGAAGUAGGGAUUCCAGAGAUGGUCCAUUCUGAGAUUGGUUUAAAAGUCUCGCGACUGCACACAUGGUGAGAAUCACUUUGUGAAACCCCUUGCGCAUGCCAAUAUAAACUGCAAAAUGCCUUAUCACAUCCUAAACAGUGUUGAGGUACACUUAUUGGUGCACGAAGGCAUCAUUCCUCCGCAUGCUUGACAUUGCAGAUGGAUAGUGGUUUGAUUGCAGCGGAACGCACCAUAUUCAGUACCACAUUGAGGGCAUGGAUUUGAUGGAUUAUGAGCUUCUUCAUCCACCUGGGAGCGAGCCCUUUUUCUGCGAAGAUGUUUUCCAGAGUUUACGACAAUAUUAGAUUGUAUUGUUGCAUAAGAGUCUAAAAUUGCCACUUCAUCAUUGGUGCGUUUUAGUGAAUAGAAGAGAACAAGAUCUCUGAGCAAACUACAAUCUCAUAUGAAAUAAUUUCAACAUCCGGAUAUCUCAAGUCUGAUGGAACGAGCUUGGCCCAGAAUUCUUCACAGGGUUUUGCACCCGAGCUCUCUCCAACUUCUGCCAUCCCUUGAAUAUAUUCACAAAGGACCCAGAAACCAUUAAUUUAGAUCUCAAAGAUAAGUAACCGGCCAUUGUUAUGUUCAUUUAAAAAGAAACAAGUACUUAUAUAUUCAACUAUUUAUGAGCAACAGAGCAAUUUUAAUUUCUAAUUAUCGAACAAAAUCUUUACCGCUAAUUAGAUAAUUCAUCCAAGUACGAAAAGAAAACAGAUUUGCACUCAAACAAGACAGAUUCAUGAAAUAUGCUAUGGUAACGCCCCUAACAUUUCAACACCGAUAAACAUAUCAACUUCAUGUUUCAGACAUCCUACAACUACAUAUAUUAGAUCGUAACAAUUCCAACUAAAUGUAAAAGCUCUUAAAGACCUAGUUUGGGAGUGAGGUGCUUAAAAAAAAAACACCUAUGAAAAAAAGCUGUGAGGGUUUUAGGUGUUUGGUAAACUGAAAAAAAAGGGCUUAUUUUGGAAGCUGCUGUGAGAAUAAGCUGAAAUCAAAGGAAAAAGCUGAAGUUGCUAUUUGCAGCUUUGGAAAACUGGCUUUUUUUCAAAGCACACGGAGCUACAAUGCUCCUUUAAUGAAAAGACCCACUAUCAGACUGAUUUUCUUUCCAAAAGCACUUUUACAAAAAAGUUUACCAAACGCUCUGUUGAUUUAUUUCACAGCCGCUUAUUCUCACAGCACAGCCGCUUAUUCUCACAGCAGUUUUUUUUCAAAGCACAGCAAUACCAAACCACUCAAAGCAUAACGACAUACUAGCAAAAUUCAUGGAAGAUAGUAAGUGCCAAUUAACAAGAGAGUCAAAAAGGCUUGAGGAGAAGGGGUCCCCAGCAGCGGCAUCAUUUCUGGCCGGAAAAGGUUCAUUCUAGUAAUAUAAUUUAUACCACAGAACACAUACAAACAGAUUUAAGGAGACACAAUUGUCAUUCUAAAAGAGACACUUUCUCAAUUCUUGAAUUAAAACCUGGACUCCAAGAUUGCAAAACCACAGAAUGUGGUCCCCUUUACAAAAAUGUAUAUCAUGUUUACUCUAUGUUCAUAGUUUGAACCUUCGUUUAUGCAAUCUCGCUCUUGUUUUUGUUCUCUUGUAUGACCUAAUUUUCACACAAUUCUCACCGGAAAACCAAUAGAAAUAUUUAUGAAAAUUGAUAGGUCUCACUUGGAAAUUGUUUCAAAAACCCUAACAACAAAAAUGAAAAGUUUGCAACUUUGGCCAAUAAACAAUCAAACGUGAAAAGAAUUUGAAACUUAUCUAUUUCUAAACACGUUUAUAACAUCUUAAGAGACGCGCAAUGUUGGUGAUAAAAAAGAUCAUUCACAUGCGGAUAAUAAUGUGAUUAAAUUAAUUGUCAAAUGACUGUUUUUUUUAAACGAUAUUAUCGAUACUAAGGGGGAGAGGUGUGUUUAGCCUCACAAUGGGCUAGCAACAAUGUGAUUCAAUCAGUUGUUUAUUAAAUAUUAUUUUAUCUAUUUUAAACACGUUCAAAAUAUCUUAAGAGGCAUGUAAUGCUGGUUAUAAAAAAAGUAUUUCGCACGAGGAUAAUAAUGUGAUUAAAUUAGUUGUUAAAUGAUUUUUUUUAACAAACGAUAUUAUUUACACUAAUGGAGAGGGGUGGGCUUAGUCUCACAAUGAGCUAGCAAUAAUGUGAUUCAAUCAAUUAUUUAUUAAAUAUUAUUUUCUCUAUUCUUAAUGUAAAUUCUAUAGAGACCGAUUUUAUUAUGUGAAUUCAGCUGGUUUAAUUGGUUUAUGAAGGGUUUCUUCUAGCAUGAUCUAAGAUUAUUCAUUUACUUCAAAUAUUUAACUUUCAUUUUGUCAAUUUACACACAAUAUAUACAUUUAAAAAACGUGUAAGUCGUGUAUAGCACGUCGUGAUUCAAAAAAUAUCCUCUGCACGUGCGUAAGCAUAUGCACGGAGGCUAGUAUAUACUAAAGUGGAAUGAGAAAAACAUUGUUCAUAAGAAACAAUGUUUUGACGUUUUUGCCCUCAUUUUUAGUGUUUCUGUGUUCCUAGUUUUUGUGCUGUUGAAAUCCCCACAUUACCAUAUAGGCAUACGUGUGUACGGAAAAAUGUUUUUCACGCGUGGCAUAAGGAAAUUUUCUCUGCAGCACCGUGUUAUUCCCCUGGGAGUCUGCAGCACCGCUCAACCAAAUUUUCUCUCAUUCCGUACUUCUCCACCUCUUCAAUCGUGCUGCACCGUGAAUCGAAACAAAAAACUGCUCUUCCAAAUCAAUUUCAGUUAACUCAAAUCCCUAAAACCCAAAUUUCUCCAGACCAUUGGAAUCAGUUUGCCUUUGUUGUUGCUAAUCUACAGGUAAAGCUUAAAUUUACAUACAAUUUUUAAUUUUUCUUGAUUGGAAUUUGGAAAGAAUUACAGAAAAUUGGCGAUGUCCACCGAGUCGGAUGCGUGGUGGAGACUCGGAUGCUCGCUUCCCUGACGUCACUACGCAUCGAUAAACGCACAUCAUUUCCGACUACGUCACUUCUUUCUCUCGCCUCCUUUUCAUGGUUAGCUCCUCCUCCGUAUUUACUCAACGCCUAAUUUUGGCCUUUUUUUCUUCCUUCACUGAUUUGUUCUAGAGAUCGCAGAUUGUUGAGUCAGAGAAGAGGUACAUUUCCAUUUGGGGUUUUUUCCCAAUUGAUUGAUGCUGUAUUAAUUUGGAAUUUGCCCAAUUGGGGUUUGAGAUUUUUGGUUUAUAUGGUUGUUUUGAACUUUUGAGAAAACCCUUAUUUGUUUUAUUUUUUAAGAAAAUUAAUGAAAAUGAUUUGAAAUCUUUGAAUUUUAGAAUAAGAACAAAAUAAAGGGUAAAGGGAACAAUAGCAAGAUUGACUUUUUAGUGUAAAAAUGUAAUUUUUCGUUAAAGUGAACAAUAUCGAGUAUUUUUUGUUCUUUAAGAGGGGAAUAAUGAUAUGAUCUGUAAUUAGUGAUUAGCUUAAUCACUUAUUCUUGGGAUUAUUAGGCUUAUUCAUGUUUUAGUGGAGUUUGUUAUAACUGCUAGCUGGCAUGAGGAGUCAUGACUGGUAUAAGAGCACUAGUUCUGAGUAUUGUAAUCAGAUCAGAAUUUACAACAAAGAAAAUAAAUACAAAAAUAUUUGGAGCUCUGCUCCUUCAUCUCUCCUUCCCUCUUCUUCCAUAGCUUUCUUGUGCUACUUGCAGGUUGAUUAAGGGAAUUGAGAAUUGGGUCUUAUCAUAGUGGAUCUUGACGAGCGGGCGGGCGGGCGGGCGAGCGAGCCAAGACUUAGUGGUUUAAGCUGGAGAGGUUUAUUUGGAAGAACCAAAGCCGUUUGAGCCGAUGCUGUAGCAGAUUGAACCGGUUCUACGCAGACCUCGCCAAAUCUCAGCCAUCAGAUUGCUGUCCGGACGAUCGCACACUUUGUCCGCAACUUAGACACGCCCUUGCAGUUAUAGCACCAAGGUGGGCCUGGGAGCAAACGGCUGAGAAGAAUUGAACAGAAAUUGGGCCAAACAGGAGCAAAGCGCUGCGCCAGUUGCUGUGGAAGGGAAUGUUGCUGAUGAUGCUGGACUGGGCCCGCAUAAUUCAAGGGCUGCGCUAGAUGCUCAAGCUGCUCGGCAGAGGGAUGCCAGGUUCCACGACCAACACCGCGUGAAUUAUUGUUAAAAUUUCCAUUUGCAAAGAAAAGAUUGAUCAUGGCGUUGAAGAUUUUUGCUUCUGCAGAUCCUCCUGGGUCUUUGAUUAGUUGUUAUACAUUCUCUUAACUCUGUCACAAAAUUUCCAUUUGCAAAGAAAAGAUUGAUCAUGGCGUUGACGGUGGUAGGUGGGGCCGCUCUCUCGGGUUUCUUCCAGCAAGUAUUUGUGAAGUUGGAUUCUCAGGAGGUCAGGAACUUCAUCAGAGGAAAGAAACUGACUGAUGGGUUGCUCAAGAAGUUGAGGAUCAAGUUGAUGUCUGUCAGUGCUGUUUAUGAUGAUGCCGAGCAAAAGCAAUUACGUAACCCACAUGUGAGGCUGUGGCUGCACGAGCUUAAAGAGGCCGUCCUUGAUGCUGAGGACCUACUGGACGAGAUCAAGACAGAAGCGUUGAGGCGGAAAAUUGAAGCUGAAUUUGGAAGUAGCACAAGCAAGGUACAAGACCUCAUCUCUGCUUCUUUCCAUGCUUUUGAUGAGUCUGUAGACACCAAGAUAGAGGAAAUUCUUGAGAGGCUAAGCUUCAUUGUAGAACAAAGAGAUGCCCUUGAUUUGAAAAGAGGUAGUAGACACAAAAUCUCACAAACAUUGCUUUCAACUUCUUUAGUAGAAGGCUCUGAUGUGUAUGGAAGAGAUCGUGAGAAGGAAACCAUCAUUCAACUAUUGUUAUCAAAUGAUGUCACUUGUAGUAAGAUUGGCAUUAUUCCCAUUGUGGGCAUGGGUGGGAUCGGAAAGACCACCCUUGCUCAGCUCUUAUACAAUGAUGAUAGAGUGCAGCAGCAUUUUGAGCUCCAGGCAUGGGUUUGUGUUUCUGAUGAAUUUGACGUUGUUAAGAUCACACAAACAAUUUAUGCAUCAGUCACUUCACGAACCUGUGAUGACCUAAACCAGCUUCAGGUCAAACUCAAAGAUGCUUUGGCGGGGAAGAAGUUUCUUUUUGUUCUUGAUGACGUUUGGAAUGAGAAUUACAAUAUUUGGGAAUCCUUAAGGCGCCCCUUCGAGUCUGGAGCUCAUGGAAGUAAGAUCAUUGUCACCGCAAGGAAUGGUGGUGUUGCAUCUACGAUGGGUACUCUUCAAACCCACUAUUUAAAGCACUUACUUGAGGAAGACUGUUGGUCUUUAUUUGCAAACCAUGCCUUCAAAGAUGCAAGUGUUAUUGUAGAUCCAAAUCUGGAGGUAAUUGGAAGACAAAUUGUGAGCAAGUGUAAAGGCCUUCCUUUAGCUGCAAAAUCGCUCAGUGGUCUCUUACGCUCUGAAUCAAAUGUGGAGGAAUGGGAAAAUGUGCUCAAAAGUGACAUAUGGGAGUUGUCAGAUGCAAAGAUUGACAUUUUGCCGGCUCUAUGGCUAAGCUACCAGUACUUGUCUCCGGAGCUAAAGCGUUGUUUUGCUUAUUGUUCGACAUUUCCCAAAGAUUAUUUAUUUGACAAGUCUAAAUUAAUUUUGUUGUGGAUGGCCGAAGAUCUUAUACAACCCCAAAAGAAGACUAGGUUGGAAGAUGUUGGAAAGAAAUACUUUGAUGAUCUAAUCUCACGGUCAUUUUUUCAAUACUCGUCUUCAAAUGAUUGUUUCAUCAUGCAUGAUCUGAUGCAUGAUUUGGCGACUUACGUAUCUGGAGAAUUUUGCAUUAGAUUGGAAGACCACAACUUCUCAUUGGACGUUGUGAGCAAGGGUCGUCAUUUUUCUUAUAUGCAAUAUUCAUCUAAUGUUGAUUAUGAGAGAUUUGACACUAUUUAUGAAGCUAAGUAUCUGCGCACCUUCAUUCUUGGCAAUCACUUUCCAUCGCCGAAAGUACGACUUGAUCUCCUUUUAGUGCUACAUUGUUUAAGAGUUCUCAAACUACGUGGGCAUGAUAUCACGGAGUUGCCUGAUUCGAUUAGCAACUUGAAGCAUCUACGGUACCUUGACUUGUGGUUCACUCCAAUCCAGAAAUUACCUGACACCGUAUGCAGUUUGUAUAAUUUACAAACGUUGUUGUUGUCAAAUUGUAUAUAUCUAGCUGAGUUGCCCACCGAUUUGAGAAGACUUAUCAACUUGCGCCAUCUUGAUUUCAGAGGUACAAAAUUAAAAAUGAUGCCCCCCCACAUGGGCAAGUUGAAAGAUCUCCAAACAUUUGAAGGUGAGUUUGUCUUGAGCAAAGAUGCCGGGGGAAACAUUGAUGAGUUAAAGGGGUUUCAGCAUUUGAGUGGAAAUCUUCAUGUGUCAGGGCUUCAAAAUAUCAAACGUGCUGAGGAUGCUUUGGAGGCCAAACUGAGGGACAAGAAGCUUAGUGACAUACGUUUGAAAUGGGAAGGUGACACUAUCGAUUCUGAAAACGAUAGCCGAGUGCUGGGCAACCUGCACCCCAAUACAAACCUAAAAGUACUGGUUAUAGAAGGAUACGGAGGUACAAAGUUUCCAGGUUGGUUAGGAGAUGAGUCUUUCUCUAACCUCGUCACUAUCCGACUUGAGACUUGUGGAUAUUGUUUCUCCUUGCCAGCAUUGGGGCAGUUACCCUCCCUCAAAAGGCUUGAAAUUUAUGGGUUAAAUGGAGUGGAAUCAGUGGGGUCUGAGUUUUAUGGGGGAAUUAAACCUGCAUUUAAAUCUCUAGAGUUUCUGAGUUUCUGCAGUAUGCGGGAAUGGCAAGAGUGGUGUUUCCCUGGAGGUGAAGAAGAAGAAGGCGGACAUUUUCCUAAUCUUUGCGAGCUUAGUCUGGAGAACUGUCCCAAACUAACGGGGAAAAUACCGUUAUACUACUUCCCAAGACUUGAGCGGCGUACGUUUGGAGGAAGUUAAUAUCGAAUCCCUUGCUUGUUCGCAAGAAUGCAAUAAAUUCAAUAUUGAACUCCCAUCCCUCCGUGAGUUGAAAAUAUCAGAUUGCCCGAAUCUGGUAUGUUUUGUGGGUGGUGGAGUGCUGCUUGCGCCCAACUUGGAGGAGAUAACUAUUUGCCAUUUUAAGAACUUGUGGUCAGUGCCCGAAGAUAUGCAAAUCUCGCUCCCAUCUCUUCCGUCUCUGUCCAUACAAGGGUGUAAAGAAUUUAAAUCAUUUCCGGAAGAAUCUAAAUUCCCAUCCCUCGUUGUUUUGAAGAUACAGGGAUGCCCAGAAUUUGUGGGUUUCCCCCAUGGAGGAGGACUGCAAGCGCCCAACUUGAAGGAGAUGGAAAUCAAAGAAUGUAACAAAUUCAGGUCACUGCCAGAGGAGAUGCAAAUCUCUCUCCCAUCUCUCGAGUCUCUGUGUAUAAGGGAUUGUCCAGAAUUGGAAUCAUUUUCGGAAGGGGGAUUGCCGUCUAAAUUGCGUUUUCUCAGUAUCUGGAGUUGUAAAGAACUGAUGGCAAACCGUAUGCGGUGGGGUCUACAAACACUCACCUCUCUCAAAUACUUGGAUGUCAGCUUCAGAGGAUGUGAAGAUGAAGAAAUUGGCGAAUCAUUUCCAGAAGAGGGGCUGCUGCCAACCACUCUCACUUCUCUCGGAAUCUACAAUCAUCCGAAUCUGAAAACCAUUGACGGCAAGGCGUUAAGACACCUCAUCUCUCUCGAGAAGUUGGAGAUUUAUUAUUGUCCUCAACUCCAGAGCUUGCCAGAUGAAGGGCUACCCACUUCUCUUUCUCGUCUAGAUAUCUUCCCAGUGUGAUUGCUAAAACAACGGUGCCAGAGAGACACGGAAGAAGAUUGGGCCAAGAUUUCUACAUUCCCAACAUAACGAUUUCUGGCCGAAAGAUAUGAUUUGCAAUGGUACGUAAUUCGUCAACGUGCGUUUAUGUGUUUAUUUACGAUCUGGCUGUGAAAAAUUUAAAUCAUAAACAUGUUUCAAAUGUUAAUAUUCUCGUAAUAACAAAUUUUACAGGUACUCCAGUCCCAUAUAAACAUGAAAGUAUUUGCGAUAGAAACAUACGGAGCUACAAAAAUUCCAGAUGACUCGUUCAUUCUCUCAUCUUGUUACUCUUCGACAUGUGGAUUGUGAAUAUUGUUUUUCAAUGCCAGCAUUGGCACAGCUACCAUCUCUCAGAAGGCUUGAAACUGAUGGGUUAAAUGGAGUGGAAUUGUUCCUCG